GACGAACGCUGGCGGCGUGCUUAACACAUGCAAGUCGAACGGGCCCGCCCCUGUUUUUGGGGGUGGGUUGAGUGGCGAACGGGUGAGUAUCACGUGAGUAACCUGCCCCCUGCUCCUGGAUAACUGCUUGAAAGGGCGGCUAAUACGGGGUGUGCCGGCUGGUCCGCAUGGGCCUGGUCGGGAUAGUUUCAUCUUCGGGUGUUUCGGUGGGGGAUGGGCUCGCGGCCUAUCAGCUUGUUGGUGGGGUGAUGGCCCACCAAGGCGGUGACGGGUAGCCGGCCCGAGAGGGUGGGCGGCCACACUGGGACUGAGACACGGCCCAGACUCCUGCGGGAGGCAGCAGUGGGGGGUAUUGCACAAUGGGCGGAAGCCUGAUGCAGCGACGUCGCGUGAGGGAUGGAGGCCUUCGGGUUGUGAACCUCUUUCUCCGGUGGGGAAGGCCCUGUCCGUUGCGGCGGGGUUGACGGUAGCCGGGUAUGAAGCGCCGGCUAACUACGUG
rnacentral:rRNA from 1 species